rnacentral:rRNA from 1 species
CUCGAAAGGGAUGCUAAUACCGCAUACGUCCUACGGGAGAAAGCAGGGGACCUUCGGGCCUUGCGCUAAUAGAUGAGCCUAAGUCGGAUUAGCUAGUUGGUGGGGUAAAGGCCUACCAAGGCGACGAUCUGUAGCGGGUCUGAGAGGAUGAUCCGCCACACUGGGACUGAGACACGGCCCAGACUCCUACGGGAGGCAGCAGUGGGGAAUAUUGGACAAUGGGGGGAACCCUGAUCCAGCCAUGCCGCGUGUGUGAAGAAGGCCUUUUGGUUGUAAAGCACUUUAAGCGAGGAGGAGGCUACCGAGAUUAAUACUCUUGGAUAGUGGACGUUACUCGCAGAAUAAGCACCGGCUAACUCUGUGCCAGCAGCCGCGGUAAUACAGAGGGUGCAAGCGUUAAUCGGAUUUACUGGGCGUAAAGCGCGCGUAGGUGGCCAAUUAAGUCAAAUGUGAAAUCCCCGAGCUUAACUUGGGAAUUGCAUUCGAUACUGGUUGGCUAGAGUAUGGGAGAGGAUGGUAGAAUU